rnacentral:rRNA from 1 species
GACGAACGCUGGCGGCGUGCUUAACACAUGCAUGUCGAACGGGCCCGCCCCUGUUUUUGGGGGUGGGUUGAGUGGCGAACGGGUGAGUAUCACGUGAGUAACCUGCCCCCUGCUCCUGGAUAACUGCUUGAAAGGGCGGCUAAUACGGGGUGUGCCGGCUGGUCCGCAUGGGCCUGGUCGGGAUAGUUUCAUCUUCGGGGGUUUCGGUGGGGGAUGGGCUCGCGGCCUAUCAGCUUGUUGGUGGGGUGAUGGCCCACCAAGGCGGUGACGGGUAGCCGGCCUGAGAGGGUGGGCGGCCACACUGGGACUGAGACACGGCCCAGACUCCUGCGGGAGGCAGCAGUGGGGGGUAUUGCACAAUGGGCGGAAGCCUGAUGCAGCGACGUCGCGUGAGGGAUGGAGGCCUUCGGGUUGUGAACCUCUUUCUCCGGUGGUGAAGGCCCUGUCCGUUGCGGCGGGGUUGACGGUAGCCGGGUAUGAAGCGCCGGCUAACUACGUG